rnacentral:rRNA from 1 species
UACGUAGGGCGCAAGCGUUGUCCGGAAUUAUUGGGCGUAAAGAGCUCGUAGGCGGUUUGUCGCGUCUGCUGUGAAAGACCGGGGCUCAACUCCGGUUCUGCAGUGGGUACGGGCAGACUAGAGUGUGGUAGGGGAGACUGGAAUUCCUGGUGUAGCGGUGGAAUGCGCAGGUAUCAGGAGGAACCCCGAUGGCGAAGGCCGGUCUCUGGGCCAUUACCGACACUGAGAAGCGAAAGCAUGGGGAGCGAACAGG